rnacentral:tRNA from 1 species
GACAGUGUGGUGUAGUGGUUUGAGCACUGGACUACAACUCUGGAGAUCAGGUUCAAAUCCCUACUUUCA